UACGUAGGGGGCGAGCGUUGUCCGGAUUCAUUGGGCGUAAAGCGCGCGUAGGCGGCUCCGCAAGUCGGCCGUGAAAUCUCCGGGCUCAACUCGGAGGGGUCGGGCGAGACUGCGGGGCUCGAGGUGGGCAGAGGGCAGCGGAAUUCCGGGUGUAGUGGUGGAAUGCGUAGAGAUCCGGAGGAACACCAGUGGCGAAGGCGGCUGCCUGGGCCUGGCCUGACGCUGAGGCGCGAAAGCGUGGGGAGCGAUCCGG
rnacentral:rRNA from 1 species